CUUCGGGCUGAUAACUAGUUAAUGAUCUCGAUUUCCCACGAUCAUUGACCUUUAAGUGUCCGAUAUAUUGAACUGCGGAGGACUUACACGUCUUCGGAACCGUUUCAUGACGUCUGAUGUUUAUUUCGCCGCAACAUAC
rfam:Cochliobolus heterostrophus C5 unplaced genomic scaffold COCHEscaffold_3, whole genome shotgun sequence.